rnacentral:rRNA from 1 species
UACAGAGGUCCCGAGCGUUGUUCGGAUUCACUGGGCGUAAAAGGUGCGUAGGUGGCGAGGUAAGUCGGAUGUGAAAGCUCGGAGCUCAACUCCGAAAUGGCAUUGGAAACUACUCUGCUCGAGGGUUGGAGGGGGGACUGGAAUACUUGGUGUAGCAGUGAAAUGCGUAGAUAUCAAGUGGAACACCAGUGGCGAAGGCGAGUCCCUGGACAACUCCUGACACUGAGGCACGAAAGCUAGGGGAGCAAACAGG